AUGGAGAGGACAACGGCCGCGCACGGCGUCGGCGGCCGCUGGCUGCCUUGCCUCGUCUUGCUCGCCGUCCUGUCGGCCACGCCGUGGCUACUCAUCAUCCACUGCCACCGGGCGGCGUCCGUCAGCACGCCGCACCCGUCGCUCGUCACCGCCGCCCCCGCGUCCGGCCGCGAGGGCGGCUCCCAGCCGCGCUUUCCCUCCGUCCAGGAGCAGCAGGUCAAGAACCUCCUGAUCGCCUCCGCUGCCGGGGACGAGGUGCGCCGGAGCAGUAACGUUGGCGUCACCGGGGAGGACGCGUGCCGGGGGCGGUACCUGUACGUCCACGACCUGCCCCCACGGUUCAACGCCGACAUCCUCGCCGACUGCCGCCACUGGUACCCGUGGAUGGACAUGUGCCCGUACCUCGUUAACGGCGGCCUCGGCGCGCCCCUGGACAACGCGGACGGCGUGUUCGCCGACGAGGGCUGGUACGCCACCGACCACUUCGGCCUCGACGUCAUCUUCCACGCUCGCGUCCGGCAGUACGAGUGCCUCACCAACGACUCCUCCCUCGCCGCCGCCGUUUUCGUGCCGUACUACGCUGGGUUUGACGUCGUGCGGCAUCUGUGGAGCAACAACGCCACAGCCAAGGACGCCGCGCCCGUCGAACUCGUCGACUGGCUGACGCGGCGGCCCGAGUGGCGCGCCAUGGGCGGACGCGACCACUUCGUCAUGUCCGGGAGGACGGCGUGGGACCAUCAGCGGCAGACGGACAGCGACUCGGAGUGGGGCAACAAGCUGUUCCGUUUGCCGCCGGUGUGGAACAUGACGGUGUUGUUGGUCGAGAAGCUGCCGUGGACGGACUUCGACUUCGCCGUGCCGUACCCGACCUACUUCCACCCAGCGAAAGACGCGGACGUCCUCCAGUGGCAGCAGCGGAUGCAAGGCAUGAAGCGGGACUUCCUCUUCUCCUUCGCCGGCGGCGAGCGGCCCGGAGACCCGAACUCCAUCCGGCACCACCUCAUCCGGGAGUGCGGCGCCUCCAGCUUCUGCAACCUGGUGCAGUGCCACAAGAGCGAGAAGAACUGCCUCGUGCCCAGCACCUUCAUGCGCGUCUUCCAGGGGGCGCGCUUCUGCCUGCAGCCGCCUGGCGACACGUACACGCGGCGGUCGGCGUUCGACGCCAUCCUCGCCGGCUGCGUGCCGGUGUUCUUCCACCCGGACUCCGCGUAUAGGCAGUACAAGUGGCACCUCCCCGACGAUCGCGACACCUACUCCGUGUUCAUUUCCGAGGAGGACGUGCGCAGCGGCAACGCCAGCAGCGUGGAGGAGACGCUCCGGCAGACCCCUCUGGAGGUGGCGGAGCGGAUGACCGAGACGGUGAUUGGGCUGAUACCGAGGCUGGUGUACGCGGACCCGAGGUCGAAGCUGGAGACGCUCAGGGACGCCGUGGAUUUCACGGUGGAGGCCGUCAUCGACAGGGUCAGCAAGCUCAGGAAGGAGAUGGACCAUGGCGCGUCGCCGCGAGGGCAUCUGACGCAAACAGCGACGAAGGUUUCUAGCAAAAUCAAGACAUAUACUAAUUAG
rnacentral:rRNA from 1 species